UAAACAUAUUACUUUUAAUACAACAACAAAAAAAGAAACAAUAACAUAAUAAACAUUUCGCUGUAAGAAGAAGUGUAAACAACUUUAGUCCAUGUAUGCAUGUGUUUUUGUAUAAAUUCCCUAUUUGCAUUUCUUUCAAUACUACAUUAAAAUCUAAUAUUUAAGUGUUUUAAAUACUAGAUAUGUUAUACAAAUACGCUUUCUGAAAUUCAUUUGCAACCAAUAACUGAUUAGUUUCCUUUCUAAAGUUAAUUGAAUAUGGGGAAUCUAAACCAUCUCUUUUAGUUAAGAGUUCUCUAUGGGUUUGUCCAUCAGGGGAGAUUACUACGACAUUCUUUGAUCCAUAUCCUAUAACAUACACGUUACCAUCAUUAUCAGCUGAUAUUCCAAAUGGAUUCUUUAAAUUGUUUUCAUUUUUGAAAGUCCAUUUCGUUGUACCUUGCAGAUCGCAGCAUACUACUGUAUGAUACUUAUAGCUGGAAUAAUAAAGUUUGUGUCCAGAUAUAGUUAUGUUGAUUAUUGUGUCCAGGUUCUCAGUAAUGAUAUCACAUGUUGAUUUGUCAGCAAGAUCCAUGGCUCGAAUUGCUUUAUUUUUAAUGUGAUACAGCAGUGUGUUAUUUGGCACCGCUAUACCAGUGGUU
rnacentral:lncRNA from 1 species